CCAGAGGGCCGGGCGGCCGCGGCGUGGCGGGUAACCGCCACGGCGAGGAAAGUCCGGGCUCCACGAAAUAACGGUGCCGGUUAACGACCGGCUGGAGUGAUCCAAGGGACAGUGCAACAGAAAGCAGGUCGCUACAGCUUCGGCUAAGCGAAAUUGAAAGGGUGCGGUAAGAGCGCACCGCGUCUGCGGCAACGCAAGGCGGCACGGUAAACCCCACCGGGAGCAAGACCGAAUAGGGGCGGCGCGCGGCUUGACCGCUAGGCCUGUUUCGGCCGAGACCGUCCGGGUUGGUUGCUUGAGGAGCGGAGCAAUCCGUUCCCUAGAGGAAUGGUCGCCUAUCCUUGGAAACAGGGUGGACAGAACCCGGCUUACAGGCCCUCUGGCAUU
rnacentral:RNase_P_RNA from 3 species